rnacentral:lncRNA from 1 species
CGGCUUGGCAUUAAGAUACCUCAAGGAUGCUCUCCUAGACAACAUUGUGAUAGGUUGCGCAUUUUUUCCCAUAAACUGGACCGCCGCUCUCUUUCUAGCGCCAAUCUAUUGCAGAUGAAAUCCGUCCUGGGCCGGAGGCGCUGGAGCAUGACGAAGCCCGAUGAGUUGGCGGUGGUCGGACCUGCAAGAAAAGUUUCCAUCGGAGGUGGCUCCGGUGGGGACCCUCCGACGUUCAAGUUAGAUUUUUCGCAAUAGGAGAAGAGCGAGUAUUUUUUGGAGAGAGA